CCCUUAGAUGUUCUGGGCUGCACGCGCGCUACACUGUUACGAUCAACGAGUUUGUUCCUGGGCUGAUAAGCUUGGGCAAUCUUGAAAAUCGUAACGUGAUGGGGAUAGAUUAUUGUAAUUAUUAAUCUUGAACGAGGAAUUCCUAGUAAGUGUAAGUCGUCAGCUUGCGCUGAUUACGUCCCUGCCCUUUGUACACACCGCCCGUCGCUCCUACCGAUUGAGUGAUCCGGUGAGCAAUUCGGACUGCAGCCAUGGGGGCAACUUCAUGUGCAGUGGGAAGUCUUGCAAACCUUAUCACUUAGAGGAAGGAGAAGUCGUAACA
rnacentral:rRNA from 1 species